UAGGGAAUCUUCGGCAAUGGGGGGAACCCUGACCGAGCAACGCCGCGUGAGUGAAGAAGGUUUUCGGAUCGUAAAGCUCUGUUGUUAAGGAAUAAUGAGUGUGAGAAUGGAAAGUUCAUGCUGUGACGGUACUUAACCAGAAAGGGACGGCUAACUACGUGCCAGCAGCCGCGGUAAUACGUAGGUGGCAAGCGUUGUCCGGAUUUAUUGGGCGUAAAGCGAGCGCAGGCGGUCAAUUAAGUCUGAUGUGAAAGCGCCCGGCUCAACCGGGGGGGGUCGUUGGAAACUGGUUGACUUGAGUGCAGAAGAGGAGAGUGGAAUUCCUUGUGUAGCGGUGAAAUGCGUAGAUAUAUGGAGGAACCCCGGUGGCGAAGGCGACUCUCUGGUCUGUAACUGACGCUGAGGUUCGAAAGCGUGGGUAGCAAACAGG
rnacentral:rRNA from 1 species